rnacentral:rRNA from 1 species
CAGUCGCCGCGGUAAUACGAAGGGGGCUAGCGUUGUUCGGAAUUACUGGGCGUAAAGGGCGCGUAGGCGGGUUUUUAAGUCAGAGGUGAAAUCCCAAGGCUCAACCUUGGAACUGCCUUUGAUACUGGGUAUCUUGAGUAUGGAAGAGGUUAGUGGAAUUGCGAGUGUAGAGGUGAAAUUCGUAGAUAUUCGCAGGAACACCAGUGGCGAAGGCGGCUAACUGGUCCAUAACUGACGCUGAGGUGCGAAAGCGUGGGGAGCAAACAGGAUUAGAUACCCCCGUAGUCCCUGUCUCUUAUAC